CCUGAAAUAUGAAUUGAGGGAGUAAUAUAUAAAAUACACUCGUAUAUAUAUACUAUGCACACACACGUGCGCACAUCUGCUUAGUUAUACGCGUCAACUGGGCAAGGUUAAUAGUCAAAUCAGUAAUCUUAGUGGAAUCAUUAAUAAUAACUCUGUCAUGUUUAACAUAAUGACCUAAUGUGCUAGAUAAAGAAAUUGAUAGCUGUUUUUCUUUAUGCCUUUUGAUGUAGGGUGGGAGUGGCUCCCUAGUGGCUCCCUGAUAUUUCCCAAGUUGGUAACGGGCUACCUGUUGGAUUACUCGUGACAGCAAGUGCCACUCUAAUUUUAGGGGUAAAUUUGUGCUCUCUAUGGCUAUUUACCGAACGUGUUCAGCAGAGAACAAGGAGAGAAGAGGUAUCUUUGUAAUUAUACCUUGGAUGUGCCCACCACCCUUCCCUCUCUUGUUCUUGGUUGAACACAUUCAGUGUCUAACCUUUUGUAACAUUUAGAGAACUGAAAAUUUUGACUACGUACCUUCGUUUAUUGUUGUCACAAGAAGGACUCCUAUAUAAGCGAAGGUUAGAAUUACCGACAAUCCUAACCACACUCUCAUGGCAGACAGGUUUGGGACAACAAAAGAAAAAAUAAAGUAUGUUGUUCCUGUGAUAAUGAUGAAAUACUGUAGCCUCAUGGUUGUGUCGCUGAACACCAGAUUUAUCUCCUGUAGGAAAACCAUUUAUAAAGGUAUUAGGAUCGUGCUUUAUAUAUGCAUAUAUCUAGUCUUCUUUUGGUUGGAACUCCUAAAUAAGAUUUUACAGCAUCUAAGAAUAUGUACUUGUUCGUUAUGAAUGUUUCUCUAAUCUACAUGAAAGUUAAAAUGUGAGAUA